CCAUUUCCCCCUUCCCGUCUCUCACCCUAAAAACCCUAACCUAGCCGCCCCAAAAUCCUCUCAGUUCAUUAACCGGCGGCGGCUAUAUUAGUUGCUCCAAAACUGCUCAAAUUCAUCCUCCACAACCCUGAGCCCAUCCUCAAUAUCAUUCAACCGUUAAUUUUCCUAAAAACCACCCAAAUUCACCGAUUUUAGAUCUGAAGUUCAACCCUAAAAACCCUAAUUCACCCAAAUCACACUAAACUCACACCCUAAAACCCUUUUCUUCCCGUCACCACUAAUCACCAAGUAUUUCCCCAUAAACAACUCCAAAUCGGCGAGUUCUGGAUCUAAGAACCCUAAGAGCACUAGGUUGUGUAUGUCUGUCUUUCGUCGCUUUUUCUCUAAUUCGAUAGUGUUGAGAUUCACCCUAAAUGGUUUAUCUUGACAAGAAUAACCAUUUGGGUUCGAUUUUAAGCAUUAUCGAAGCCAAACAGAAGUCCGUUUGUUUCUUCUCCGUCUUUCAGUAGGUACUUCCUCUCUUUGUCUUCAUGUUCUUUUAUCUUCUGUUAUUCUUUUGUUCGUUUGUGCUAAUUCAUACCCAUAAAAAUAAAAAUAAAAAUAUGUUUUUAAGGCUUUCAUUCAUCUCUGUUUUUGUUAAGUAAGUCGCCAUUGUUAGGUUGGUGUUAUUUGGAUUUCAUGGUUAGCUAAUUAAGGUUAGAAGGUUCAAAUGAUUUGGCUAGGGUAAUUAAUGAUAGUUUUGUUUGCUUUCUGGUUGGUUAUUAGUUUCCAUACCUGCUUUCCUUGUUUAGUUUGCACGAGCCAGUUAGGGUAAUUUCAGCAUUUAUGUUCAAUACUUAGUAAGAUGUUUGUUAAGUUCCCCUCUUAGUAAUCUAUUAAUAGGCUUUAAUAAUUUUCCUUUUGAAACUCGUGUUAGUAUUAGGUUUGAGUUAUUUCUGUUUCUGUCUCAUUGCUAAUUUGGUUCAUGUUAAAUAAACUUAUGGUUAGUCCGAAGGUUUAACUGCAUUUCUGCUUAUUAUUUGAUUCUGUUUUCCAAUGUUUGCUUGCCUUGUCCUUGUUUGCCAUAGUUAUCAAAUCAUUAGAAACUUAGGAGGGGUUAAUUGAACAAAUGGAAAUUUAGGGGUUAAUUAGGGAAAUAGAAAAUAAUAUUUUCAGAUAAGGUUAAGGUUAGAAGCUUCUAGAAUUUGGGGCAUCUGGCCUUAUUUGGCCAGCACCAAAUGCUGAAACCAAUUAGAGGUUGACAGUUGUCCUAAUUCUGUUAGAAAGAUGCUUUUAGGGGCUGUGUGAGGGAAUAAUUCCCUAUCUUUCUGUUUUUUAGCAGAUGGCAUUGGGUUGCCUAUAAGUAGAACCUCUCCCUCACUCUGAGAAACAGAAUUCAGACCCUAAAAAAUACACAAAAAGUUUCUACAUUACUGGCUGGUUUUUUUAUUUUUCUUUUAGAACUUGAAGAGCUUUCAUGGAAAUUCUGGUUUUCUUGGUUCAAAGAGGGUUCAAAGAAGUUGAAUCUUGUUGAUUUGUUGCUUUGCUCAUAUUUCUGCUCUUGCUGAAGUCCUCACCCCAUUUUUCUUUAUUUUUAGGCACUUCUAUGAACUUGUUGAAUGGCAAACAAAGAUGUAAAGAAUGCUUGUUGCUUGAAUUUGUGAUAUGAAAUCCCAAUAUUUAAGGUGUUAGAGUUGUGGCUUCAUACGUGUUCCAUUCAUAAAUUGUUUAGAUUAACAUCCUGGUUUUUCUGUAAUUUAGAUGUUUUCACAUGAAUGGUCAGUUUAAUUUAGUCCAUUUCACAUUUUGGACAAUUUGAAGCAGUAGGCAAUCAUAGUAGUUUAUAUGGCCACUAUUAAGAUUUGUCUGAUUUUGAGAGCAUUUUGUAAUUGUUUGAUAGUUCACCAUUAAGUGUUAGCCAUGUUGGUAAGCUUUGAUCAGUUCUGGUUAGUUUUGGUUUUUGAAAGUCACAGUUAGUUGGAGUUUAUUCCAUUGAAUAGCAUGUUUUGAUUUAGGGCAUUUGCGCUUAGCUAAUCGAGAUAAUAUACAUACUUUGAAUGUCAUGUAGAUAGUGUAGUUGAUCCAGCAUAUUAAUUUUCAGAUUUUAGUAUCAUUUUUGUGAUUUGUAUGUUCAGAGCUACUUGAAUAUCAAAUAAAAGUCUUGGCAUGUUUAAAGUUUUUUUAGUUUGAAUCUGGGCUGGAUUCUUGGCCUCAUAAGUCGGUC
rnacentral:lncRNA from 1 species